ACGGAAGGCGCAGUGGGGAAUAUUGCACAAUGGGCGAAAGCCUGAUGCAGCGACGCCGCGUGAAGGAUGAAGUAUUUCGGUAUGUAAACUUCUAUCAGCAGGGAAGAAAAUGACGGUACCUGACUAAGAAGCCCCGGCUAACUACGUGCCAGCAGCCGCGGUAAUACGUAGGGGGCAAGCGUUAUCCGGAUUUACUGGGUGUAAAGGGAGCGUAGACGGUAUGGCAAGUCUGAAGUGAAAACCCAGGGCUCAACCUUGGGACUGCUUUGGAAACUGUCGAACUAGAGUGUCGGAGAGGCAAGUGGAAUUCCUAGUGUAGCGGUGAAAUGCGUAGAUAUUAGGAGGAACACCAGUGGCGAAGGCGGCUUGCUGGACGAUGACUGACGUUGAGGCUCGAAAGCGUGGGGAGCAAACAGGAUUAGAUACCCUGGUA
rnacentral:rRNA from 1 species